rnacentral:rRNA from 1 species
CCCUUAGAUGUUCUGGGCUGCACGCGUGCUACACUGAUAUUGCCAAUAUGUCAUUCUUAUCCGAAAUGGAUUGGGUAAUCAAGUAAUGAAAUUUCAUGCUUGGAAUCGGUAAUUGCAAUUUUAUCGUGAACGAGGAAUUCCUAGUAAGCACUAGUCAUCAGCUAAUGUUGAUUAUGUCCCUGCCCUUUGUACACACCGCCCGUCGCUACUACUGAUUGGGUGUUCAAGUGAGAUGCUUAGACCCUUGUUGCAUGGUUCGUUAUUGUGCUCCGAAAGGAAAAAGUUUCAAGCUUGAGUGUCUAGAGGAAGUAAAAGUCGUAACA